rnacentral:rRNA from 1 species
AACGUACGCUGGCGGCACGCUUAACACAUGCAAGUCGAACGAAGUAGCAAUACUUAGUGGCAGACGGGUGAGUAACAUGUGGGUAUCUGCCCUUUGGCCUGGAAUAACACGAGGAAACUUGUGCUAAUACCGGAUAAGUCUUUACGGAGAAAGCUUUAUGCACCAUUGGAUGAGCCCGCACUUGAUUAGUUUGUUGGUGGGGUAAUGGCCUACCAAGACUGUGAUCAAUAGCUGAUUUGAGAGGAUGAUCAGCCACAUUGGGACUGAGACACGGCCCAAACUCCUACGGGAGGCAGCAGUGGGGAAUCUUGCACAAUGGAGGAAACUCUGAUGCAGCGAUGCCGCGUGGGUGAAGAAGGCCCUUGGGUUGUAAAGCUCUUUCGUCGGGGAAGAAAAUGACUGUACCCGAAUAAGAAGGUCCGGCUAACUUCGUGCCAGCAGCCGCGGUAAUACGAAGGGACCUAGCGUAGUUCGGAAUUACUGGGCUUAAAGAGUUCGUAGGUGGUUGAAAAAGUUAGUGGUGAAAUCCCAGAGCUUAACUCUGGAACUGCCAUUAAAACUUUUCAGCUAGAGUAUGAUAGAGGAAAGCAGAAUUUCUAGUGUAGAGGUGAAAUUCGUAGAUAUUAGAAAGAAUACCAAUUGCGAAGGCAGCUUUCUGGAUCAUUACUGACACUGAGGAACGAAAGCAUGGGUAGCGAAGAGGAUUAGAUACCCUCGUAGUCCAUGCCGUAAACGAUGUGUGUUAGACGUUGGAAAUUUAUUUUCAGUGUCGCAGCGAAAGCGAUAAACACACCGCCUGGGGAGUACGACCGCAAGGUUAAAACUCAAAUGAAUUGACGGGGACCCGCACAAGUAGUGGAGCAUGUGGUUUAAUUCGAAGAUACGCGCAGAACCUUACCAACACUUGACAUGUUCGUCGCGACUCUAAGAGAUUAGAGUUUUCAGUUCGGCCGGACGAAACACAGGUGCUGCAUGGCUGUCGUCAGCUCGUGUCGUGAGAUGUUGGGUUAAGUCCCGCAACGAGCGCAACCCUCACUUUUAGUUGCCAUCAUUAAGUUGGGCACUCUGAAAGAACUGCCAGUGAUAAGCUGGAGGAAGGUGGGGAUGACGUCAAGUCCUCAUGGCCCUUACGUGUCGGGCUACACACGUGCUACAAUGGUAUCUACAACAGGAAGCAAGACUGCGAGGUCAAGCAAAUCCUUAAAAGAUACCUCAGUUCGGAUUGCACUCUGCAACUCGAGUGCAUGAAGCUGGAAUUACUAGUAAUCGUGGAUCAGCGUGCCACGGUGAAUGCGUUCCCGGGUCU